GUCAUCUUCAGUGUGAAUAGUUAUGUUAUUUACAGGCAUAACCAACUGAAUAUCUUUAGGAAGUUUGCGCAGUUGGUAUGUCCUUUGAUAAGCUUCCUGCUUUCAUGGCAACUUUACAGCUACUCUUAAAUAAAAUACUUGAAAGUUAUUUUGUUGUGCGGCAAAUGAUCACCAAAUAUUAUGGAGAAACAAAGAUUAAAUGUUGUUAGUUUAUGAAUGUGGACUCGUACGUAUAACUAAAGAAAGUAUUUAUUGUUGACGAUGGACAUUGAUGUGGCAUUUAGAAGCUGAGCUACACGUACCUUAAUAACAAACAUUUUGUACAAUGCAGUGAUUAAACUCUGUAAAUUUGCUUAAAAUUCUACUUGCCUUCAACUGCUUUAACUUUUGCAUACCGUCGUCCCACACGAAGCAAAAUGAAAUGAAACUCCAUGGACGAGAAUAUUCAGCAUUCAAAGAGUAAAAACUAAACAUGAUGUUCAAUAAGUCCUUUGAACAAAGAUCAAGUGUAAACAAAAGAUGGUAGUCUUAAGAAAUGCUUUCAUCAGCUCAACAUGAGUGU